GACGAACGCUGGCGGCGUGCUUAACACAUGCAAGUCGAGCGGAGCGGCGUACGGGUGAGUAACGCGUGAAUAACUGCCCCCCUCUCUGGGAUAACAGUUCGACACGGCUGCUAAUACGCGAUAGUGGGGGAUGACUCGCGUCCUAUCAGCUUGUUGGUGGGGUAGUGUCCUAGCAAGGCGACGACGGGUAGGCGGCCUGAGAGGGCGACCGGCCAAAUUGCGCUCAGAUGCAGGCCGAAGGCCUUCGGGCGGCAGCAGUGGGGAAUAGUGCACGAUGGGGGAAACCCGGAUGCAGCAACGCCGGGUUCGGAAUGACGGCCUUCGGGUUGUAAACCGCUUUCAGCGAUGACGCGGUAGUGGCAGAAGAAGCACCGGCUAACUACGUGCCAGCAGCCGCGGUAAUAC
rnacentral:rRNA from 1 species